rnacentral:lncRNA from 1 species
UAUAUACUAAGGUUACAAAUUACUUAGUUCCAAAAUUACCCCUAGAUAUUUUCAAGCUAGAUAUUUUCAAGCUAGAUAUUUUCAAGGUGAUCGAAAUGAGUUUUAAACAAUAAAAUGAAAUAAAAUUUAGAUAUUUUUAAUAAAACAAAAUAAAAUUAAACUAACUAUUUUAUUAGUUCUAUUUUUUUUGAUAUUUUGUUUAAAAAAACAAAAAAAAAACAAAUAAAAUGAAUUA